rnacentral:misc_RNA from 1 species
GUCUUUUCCUUCAACAACAAUAUUCCAUGGUCAUACAAAUUAAAUAAAUGAAGAAAUGAUUUCUAAAAAUUGAUGUAUAAGUGAAUGCUAUUUGAUCCAUUAUAACCUUAUCCCACUUCAGGGAUGUUCUUUGGCACCUAAAUUUUAAGUUUCAUAAGAAUGGUAAUUAUUUUGGCACCACUUUUAGAGGUAUUGAGUUUGAAAUCUAUACCAGCCUUCUUUUGACAUAAU